rnacentral:rRNA from 1 species
GACGAACGCUGGCGGCGCGCCUAACACAUGCAAGUCGAACGGAGCUAUGUUGAAAGCUUGCUGGAUAUAUAGCUUAGUGGCGGACGGGUGAGUAACACGUGAGUAACCUGCCUUUCAGAGUGGAAUAACGUUUGGAAACGAACGCUAAUACCGCAUAACGUCAGAGGACGGCAUCGUUCUUUGACCAAAGAUUUAUCGCUGAAAGAUGGGCUCGCGGCCGAUUAGGUAGUUGGUGAGAUAACAGCCCACCAAGCCGACGAUCGGUAGCCGGACUGAGAGGUUGAUCGGCCACAUUGGGACUGAGACACGGCCCAGACUCCUACGGGAGGCAGCAGUGGGGGAUAUUGCACAAUGGGGGGAACCCUGAUGCAGCGACGCCGCGUGAGGGAAGACGGUUUUCGGAUUGUAAACCUCUGUCUUUAGGGACGAAAAAAA